rnacentral:rRNA from 1 species
UACGGGGGGAGCAAGCGUUGUUCGGAAUUACUGGGCGUAAAGCGUGCGCAGGCGGUUAUGCAAGACAGAUGUGAAAUCCCCGGGUUCAACCUGGGAACUGCAUUUGUGACUGCAUGACUAGAGUACGGCAGAGGGGGAUGGAAUUCCGCGUGUAGCAGUGAAAUUCGUAGAUAUCGGGAGGAACACCAGUGGCGAAGGCGGCGACCUGGGCCAAUAUUGACGCUGAGGUGCGAAAGCGUGGGGAGCAAACAGG